GGCCCCGUAGCGCAGCUGGUUAGCGCGUCGCCCUGUCACGGCGAAGGUCGCGGGUUCGAGUCCCGUCGGGGUCGCCA
rnacentral:tRNA from 1 species